rnacentral:rRNA from 1 species
AUUGAACGCUGGCGGCAUGCCUUACACAUGCAAGUCGAACGGCGGCAUGAUCUAGCUUGCUAGAUUGAUGGCGAGUGGCGAACGGGUGAGUAAUACAUCGGAACGUGCCCUGUAGUGGGGGAUAACUAGUCGAAAGAUUAGCUAAUACCGCAUACGACCUGAGGGUGAAAGUGGGGGACCGCAAGGCCUCAUGCUAUAGGAGCGGCCGAUGUCUGAUUAGCUAGUUGGUGAGGUAAAGGCUCACCAAGGCGACGAUCAGUAGCUGGUCUGAGAGGACGAUAAGCCACCCGGGGACGGAGACGCGCCCCAACCUCCGACGGGAGGCGGAGGGGGGAAUUUUGGAACAAGGGGAGAAGGCUUGACCCAGCAAGGCGGCGUGUGUAAAGAGGUCUUGGGGUUUUAAAGGACUUUUUGCCGAAAAAAAAAUGGCUGGGUUAAAUCCCGGGGGUCGAGGAGGGAACGGAAAAAAAAGGGCCCGGCAAACUCCGUC